AUUGUAUGUGGAAAGGAAAAGUGGGGUAGAUAAAGAAAAAGAAGAAGAGAAAAAGAUAGAAAUAGAAAGAAAAAGGAGAGAUAUAAAAGAAAGUGGGUAAAAUAUCUUAUACAAGGCCAGUUCCAUAUUACUUUGUAAUUCCUCCCGAAAUAGUGAAACUUUGAUCCAAUCCGUCUACUACAUAUAUCAAAAUUAUGUAAAAUCUUUUGUCUUUAUAUACAUCAUUUUAUAACAAAAAUCAUAUUUAUUGGUAAAAAAUAACUCUAGACCACGGCUAGUACACAGCGUUAAAAUGUGUCCAGGAAGAUGCAUUAUUACCGGGGAUCUGGUUCUCGCGAUGGUGUCGUUCGAGAGAUUUAUAGAACUCUGCACAGGAGUGUUAAAACGAUGAAGGGCGGUCGAGAAGUCUCCCCCACAGCCACCCUCACAGGCAGGCGCUUCCUUCCUCGGUAGGCCUAGCUGUGGCGCCGCCGCCUCCACGGUCUGCUGGCGCGAGGACAAGUAGGACAUUGUUGGCGUGAUGCAUGCCUGUCCCUAUGAAAGGGGGCACGAGUGCCAUGUACCAAGGUGUUACCGUUGAAGCGACGGACGCCCAACUUAUCAUGUGUUCAAAAGCUGGUGGAGAAGUGGACAGACUCUUUACCAUCAGUUGGACUCUUACAGCCUGAUACGGUGUCUUUAAAAUCCAAAGGCAGCAAUUUGUUUUUGUGAAAGAUAAUUGUAAAUACGGCAUACCAAUGAAAUAGUCAGCUGUCGUGAAUGUUUAAAAUCUCUGUUCAUUUCUUUGUUGCGAGAUUAAUUGCAAUCGACCAACAUUUCCAGUUGCCUGCAA